rnacentral:sRNA from 1 species
UUCUCCAACAAGGCUAUACUUAUUCCAACGAGGCCACACCUCCAAACAGUGCCACUCCUUGUAUCAAGCACAUACAUCCCACCAUAGAGUUAGAAAAUAUUUGGUUAACAAAAUUUACACAGCAUCAUUCAGUGUGUGUGAGAAUGAUAGACUGAACCAGAUCUUGGGGGACAGUAUUUAGCAUUUGAGUUCACAGCAACAUCAGACCAAACCCCAACAUUGUACAUCUUUGUUCAUAUCUCCCCUUUGCUGCUCAACAGCAACACAUUUUAUACUGGCUAGUCUUCCUGACACCCAGUCUUCUCCUCUGUAUGGAAAAUAUUGGUGUCACGGCAAGGCAUUGUGGUGAAGGGCCUAUGGAUUGUGAUGGAUGAUGGCAGCUUUUCUCUUUCCUUCUGAUGAGAAGAUUAGAGUCCAAAGAACUGAAUAAGAAUUUUCAAGAAGCUUAAGACAACUUCAUAAUGGGGGAGGGGGAGGGGAGGAGUAAGAUUAGAAUUCCAAAAAGAAGAGGACAUCACAAUCCUGUCUGUAGAAUUUUGAAUUUUAAGGUCUGUCAUGGGAAUUAUCACUGGAGCACAAAGGUACAAGUGGGCCUAAUGGAGGUGUGUAAUCUGAAGUUACAUGGGGGAGGACUAAAGGUCCUUGAGAGAGAGAGACACAAACGAGGAAACAUUAAGAGAGGUGAAUGGAUCAUUCCACACUCAUUCUCUCUCACAGAUCACAUAGUCACACACAGGCUGGUAGUCUGCUACAACAGGCUUUAGGUUAUGAAAAAAUAUGAAGAUAGUAUUAAUGUUUUAGAUAGGAGAAAAAGUGUGAUCGUUCUGAAAAGAAUUUUGUAAUCCCCUCCUAUCUUUUAUCCCCAAAUACUGAAGUAGCCAAAUAGCACCAAGUUCUGAAAACCAAACACAAAUUUUCAUUUUAAAACUGGUAAUGGGCCAGAGAAAAAUCACUCCGUUGUUAAAAACAUUCGCUACUCAAGCCUGGUGCCCUGAGAAGAGUGAGAGGAUGGACUUCACGAUUUUCUCUUUGAGUUGCCACGUGAAUGUCUUGGCGUGCACGCACACACCUCAGCAGUGGCACUGCACCAAACCACACUGUGCCACACUUCACUGCGCCACGUCCCUCCACGCCACACCACCUCAAACCACUCUGCUCUGCUCUUCAGGACACCACUCCAUUAUGCACGCACACAGACACACAUGCAUGGGCAGGCACACACAUGCCAUAGCCGCUAUUACUUUCCCCCACUACCAUCAACAAUAAAAAUAAGUCGACAAUCUGAAAUCACAAUCAUUCAAAACCAGAUCAUGAUUCACUGAAUAUCUGACUUUCAGAAAAUGCUGUUAUUUCAUACCAUAACAUCAGUUUGUACAGGUAGAAAUGUUAAGCUUUUAUGAGUUCAAAACCAUCUCUCUGUUUAUGUUCUGAAAGUGCUUCUCGAAUUUUUAGUCACUGCAUCCUGAUAGUUCAUUAAAGUUCAUGAUGCAGAUUCUGGGCUGAGUGUUAUUUUUGUUAAUGAGGGUAAAUCCCAUUAAAAAAAUAUCCUAAGUAAAAUGUAGUGCUUUUCUAAGCAUCACUGUCACCUGGUAAUCAUUUCAAACCAGAUGUGCUUAAGCCUCUCUCCAAUAAUUUCCCAGGAGACAAUGCUAGUGUUGAUUUUCUGUACACACUGUGAAAACUAUUGCUUGAACAGUUAGCAUCAGGAACAUUGUGUCAUAUGAGAUCACUAUUGACACCACCUUUCCAAAAUUCAGAGAUCCCUGGCACAGAUCAUAAAGUAUAAUCUAAUCUCUUCAGAAAGUGCUGUGUUGUGUCUGGAAACCUGGCCAAAGCCUACAUACAUCCUGCCUCAGCUUUCCUGAUCUUCGGGUUAAAGCAUCACUGAUUUGUGACUUAUACGGUGCCCUGGCUUCAAGAAGAUCUUUCUCAGUUAUCUUUCUCUUCCAAUGAUAAGAAAUUCUCCUGCAUUAUACAGGAACGACUGCAGAUGCAUUACCACAACUUUGCAGAAAUCUUCCUAAUCUGAAAAACAAACCACAUUUAAUUUAUCAGAAAUGUACAUAUGAAUACAAGUGCCCUCAGGAGUAGAGGCAUCAAAUCCUCAUUGGAGUUAACAAGUUUCUGGAACUUUGAACACAGUAUGUGAAAGAAAUGGCGGAGAGGCAGUUGGAGCAUCUGGUUCGGUUGCCGAGACAGGAUCCUAGCAUAAUC